GGCUCAACGCGGGAACAAGGCCUCGCUCCACACGGCCGCGGAGCACUCUGGGAACCCAGCGGCUGGGAAGACGACGAGGGGGGAGAGGGACGCCCCCUCCCGCCGCCGGCGUGACGGACGGCGCAGCCAGGCCAAUGGGAGGCGGCCGCCUCUCCAGGAACACCAAUCGCGGGCUCCGGACACGAGCAGCCAAUCGGAGGGCCGCGAGAGGCUGUGGGCGGGAGGCGCCGCGUGACCGACAGCUCUCGGAGGCAGUGGGCUGCGCGCUGCCGGUGCCGGGCGGGCAAAUCGAGGCGACCCGAGAGGGCAGGAGGCCCAAUGGAGCGGGGGUUCCAGAACUACGGGGCGACUUCAGGACCGGAUUGACGGCUCCAGGGAGUCAAGUGCACAGGAAGGAGGGGCCUGGCGAAAGGCUCCUUUGAACAGGCUGGGCGGGCGCCAGCUUUGAUCUCUAGGCCAAUGGCCGGGCGGCGGGGGCGGGCGCAAGGUGACGGACAGCGCGCCGGACAAAUGGCGGUGGAGGAAGUCUAGGGGCCCCGUUUUGGUGGGAGCCAGUGGAAGCGGAGCUGCAUUGGGGCGGAGCCGGCCGCCGGACGACGAGAGGGGAUUAGCCGUCGUGGGAGUGAGUGGCAGUCGACGUGGGCAGCGCCGACCGGCUGCCCGGAAUUCGGGCCUGACGUCUGGGUUAGCGCCCCAGGAGCCUGGCUGGGUUCUCUCCACAUCCACCAUUUCACCCUGAAGCUGGAUGUGACGAGCCACAGCGAGCCAAACUGGAGUCCACACUAGUCUCUGGCUGCACCCUCAGGAAGGAUCCCCAGGGAUCUUCUGACCCAGGCCUCCAGACUGCUUCUCCUGACAAAAACUGCCCCCCGGGUCUAAGCCUGGUGGGCUCUUUGGGCCAGGGGACCCUGGAUCCUCCUGUCCAUUUCUGCCCAGGGUGUGUCGACUAGCCACGGCCUAUACGCCCAGGGUUUUCUUCAUGGCUUCGUACACCACGUAGCUGAUGCCACCUGCUGGUAACACCUUCAGUAAGGUGGGAGUCAUGCCUCGGUACAGCCCCGGCCAACCUUGCUGGGCCAAGAUCCCCCGGAAGACUCCACACAUGGUGGGGUUCGAACCCUCCACAGUGUCUGUGGGAACAGGGGCAAGCUCAGGGCUUCUGCCAGAGGAUGAUCGGGCCUCCAGGGGCGCUGGAAUAUUGGGGGUUGGGUGAAGCCCGGGGCCAAGGUCUGGGGGGUCAUUUGGGAGGGUGUUUGGAGACUUGUAGAGGAUAUUGGUCACUUUGGGGAGAGUGAGAUCAAUUCAGGCAGGAGUUUUUAGGAUUUGUUUUUCGGAACAUCUUAGAAAACAAGCUUAUAAUGGAGAGGGAACUUCUAAGAUCUGCUAGAGAUUUGAGGAGUGUGCUAAGGGGGAGGGGGGAGUUGGGGAUAUUUUCAAGAUUAGGGUAGUGGACCAAGGACUUGUUUGGAUGUUUGUGGAUUGGUGUAGGGGGUGAGAGUCCAUUUGGGGAGUACCCAGGGUAGUGGGGGAAGUGGUUAUGAUGUUAAGACGUCUAAGGGUCAGAUUUAGGAAUUUUAGGAAUUUUAGGAAUUUUGACUUUUGGAGUCAAUUAUGGGCUGGGUCUGAUUUGGAGAAGCUGGGAGAACAUUUGGGGAAUCUAUAUCCCCACUGAGGUCAGUGUGGGGGCCUAAGUCCUAUUUGGGGAUGCUUAUGGGGGUCAGUUAGGAGAUGUUCGUUUCAGUGGUUUGUAGGGUUCAUUUGGGGUCUGGUAUCAGAUUUAGGGGUGAUUCUUAGUGGGUCUAGAGGGCAGCAGAAGCAUCCAGGAUCAGAUGUGGAACAUUUGGGAGUGAGUUUUGGGGGAUGAGAAAGUUCAGAGUCAGGGCUGAGGGAGAGGGGCACACACGAUGGCCAGUGGGGCUAGCCUGACCUUGGGCCUGCAUCCUGGUGCGCACCAGGGUCAGUGGGUAACUGGCCAUCUGGCCACAGGUCGUGGACAGCGUCACAGAUGACAGACUGACCAGGCCACUGGGAUCCUCCAUGUCCCUCCCUGAUUUCAACCAGAAGCACCUGAGCAUCUGCAAGAGAAGGGGGUCAGGAGGAAGUGCACUGUGGGCCUGUGUUCACGGCACUCCUGGUACCCCUCCAUGGGCUCCACACCUCAUAGACGGCCAGGUCAGUGCAGGCAUAGGGGAUGAUGCCAAGCAUGUUGGGCAGGUAGCCGCGGUAUAGGGCGCGGGUGCCCUCCCGCUCCAGGAUCUGCCUUGCACAGUCCAGCAGCCCCUUGUACUGGCCCGUCCGGCGAAGGGUCAGCCGCGUCUUCAGCACCUGUGGAGGAUGAGGAGGGAGUGGCUCAUCUGAUCCAAUGCUCUCAUCGACCUUCAGCAGCAACCAUCGUCUCCAUCCUACCACUGAGGAAACUGAAGCUCAAGAGAGUACACAGAGCUGAGUUUCAAACCCAGAGCCGUCCGAUCCCUUGGCCUCUCUGUGCUCCCAACCCAGGGUUCAGCAGCAGAGGCCAAGAGGAUAAGGGAAAUGACAUGGACUGACUGGAGUCACAGCUUAUACCUAACAGCAGCCAGACACAAUGCCGUGGGAGUGCAGACCCCAGGUGGCCAGAUUUGCCAAUCUUCCAAGAGAAGCCAGACAACGUGAUUUGUAUGAAAUGCUCCAAAAUCAAAAUAUUGGCAACUCUACAGUUGCCCAAAAGACCAAACACCAAGUGCAGUAGGCAAAAUUCUAAGGUGGUCCCUAAGAUUACCACAUCUGAUAUAUAUGCUCCAUAUAAUGCCUGCCCGACCUUGAGAGUGUGCUGUGAAUGAAUGAAUGAGUGAAUGUGAUUGGGUGUCACUCCCCUCAUUGAGUUACAUGACAUGAAGGUGAAGAGAUUUUACAGAUGUAAUGGAGGUCUUGAAGCAGCUGAUUUUAAGUGAAGCAAGACCACUCAUCCCUGGUGGGCCUGACCAAAUCAGGUGAGCCCUUUAAAAGAGUCUCUUGCCAGAGACCAGAGAAAUCAGAGCGAUUGGGAAUGUCCAGGACAUUUUUCAUUUGCUCUUAAACAAGCAGACCGUUGGGGAGAAGACCACGUGGUAGGGACAGUGGAUAGCCUUCUUGGUGCUGAGGAUCUCCAUCCGUUGUAGGAUGUUUCACAAGAAACUGAAUCCUGUGAACAACCAAGGAACAACACAGGCCUCAGGUGGGCUCACUGUAGCCCAGCCAACACCUUGAUUUCGGCCUGAUGAAAUCCUGACCAGAGGGCCCGACCAGCCAGUGCCCAGACGUGACCCACAAAUGAGAUAAUAAAUCUAUCAUUUUAAAAGCU